rnacentral:rRNA from 1 species
CUUCCGUAGGUGAACCUGCUGAGGGAUCAUUACACAAAUAUGAAGGCGGGCUGGAACCUCUCGGGGUUACAGCCUUGCUGAAUUAUUCACCCUUGUCUUUUGCGUACUUCUUGUUUCCUUGGUGGGUUCGCCCACCACUAGGACAAACAUAAACCUUUUGUAAUUGCAAUCAGCGUCAGUAACAAAUUAAUAAUUACAACUUUCAACAACGGAUCUCUUGGUUCUGGCAUCGAUGAAGAACGCAGCGAAAUGCGAUAAGUAGUGUGAAUUGCAGAAUUCAGUGAAUCAUCGAAUCUUUGAACGCACAUUGCGCCCUUUGGUAUUCCAAAGGGCAUGCCUGUUCGAGCGUCAUUUGUACCCUCAAGCUUUGCUUGGUGUUGGGCGUCUUGUCUCUAGCUUUGCUGGAGACUCGCCUUAAAGUAAUUGGCAGCCGGCCUACUGGUUUCGGAGCGCAGCACAAGUCGCACUCUCUAUCAGCAAAGGUCUAGCAUCCAUUAAGCCUUUUUUUUCAACUUUUGACCUCGGAUCAGGUAGGGAUACCCGCUGAACUUAAGCAUAUCAAUAAGCGGAGGAA